GACAGUUUGAAGAGGUGUGAUCAGUGCUGGGGAUAUCUAUCUUCGUCUGUAGGACAGUUUGAAGAGGUGUGAUCAGUGCUGGGGGAAUACCUAUCUUCGUCUGUAGGACAGUUUGAAGAGGUGUGAUCAGUGCUGGGGAUAUCUAUCUUCGUCUGUAGGACAGUUUGAAGAGGUGUGAUCAGUGCUGGGGGAAUACCUAUCUUCGUCUGUAGGACAGUUUGAAGAGGUGUGAUCAGUGCUGGGGGAAUACCUAUCUUCGUCUGCAGGACAGUUUGAAGAGGUGUGAUCAGUGCUGGGGAUAUCUAUCUUCGUCUGUAGGACAGUUUGAAGAGGUGUGAUCAGUGCUGGGGAUAUCUAUCUUCGUCUGCAGGACAGUUUGAAGAGGUGUGAUCAGUGCUGGGGAUAUCUAUCUUCGUCUGCAGGACAGUUUGAAGAGGUGUGAUCAGUGCUGGGGAUAUCUAUCUUCGUCUGUAGGACAGUUUGAAGAGGUGUGAUCAGUGCUGGGGGAAUACCUAUCUUCGUCUGUAGGACAGUUUGAAGAGGUGUGAUCAGUGCUGGGGGAAUACCUAUCUUCGUCUGUAGGACAGUUUGAAGAGGUGUGAUCAGUGCUGGGGGAAUACCUAUCUUCGUCUGUAGGACAGUUUGAAGAGGUGUGAUCAGUGCUGGGGGAAUACCUAUCUUCGUCUGCAGGACAGUUUGAAGAGGUGUGAUCAGUGCUGGGGAUAUCUAUCUUCGUCUGCAGGACAGUUUGAAGAGGUGUGAUCAGUGCUGGGGGAAUACCUAUCUUCGUCUGUAGGACAGUUUGAAGAGGUGUGAUCAGUGCUGGGGGAAUACCUAUCUUCAUCUGUAGGACAGUUUGAAGAGGUGUGAUCAGUGCUGGGGGAAUACCUAUCUUCGUCUGUAGGACAGUUUGAAGAGGUGUGAUCAGUGCUGGGGGAAUACCUAUCUUCGUCUGUAGGACAGUUUGAAGAGGUGUGAUCAGUGCUGGGGGAAUACCUAUCUUCAUCUGUAGGACAGUUUGAAGAGGUGUGAUCAGUGCUGGG